AUUGAACGCUGGCGGCAGGCCUAACACAUGCAAGUCGAACGAGUGGCGGACGGGUGAGUAAUGUCUGGGAAACUGCCUGAUGGAGGGGGAUAACUACUGGAAACGGUAGCUAAUACCGCAUACCAUCGGAUGUGCCCAGGUGGGAUUAGCUGGUGGGUGGGGUAAAGGCUCACCUAGGCGACGAUCCCUAGCUUGUCUGAGAGGAUGACCAGCCACACUGGAACUGAGACACGGUCCAGAGUCCUACGGGAGUCAGCAGUGGGGAAUAUUGCACAAUUGGCGCAAGCCUGAUGCAGCCAUGCCGCGUGUAUGAAGAAGGCCUUCGGGUUGUAAAGUACUUUCAGCGGGGAGGCGUUACCCGCAGAAGAAGCACCGGCUAACUCCGUGCCAGCAGCCGCGGUAAUUC
rnacentral:rRNA from 1 species